AAAUUGAAGAGUUUGAUCAUGGCUCAGAUUGAACGCUGGCGGCAGGCCUAACACAUGCAAGUCGAACGGUAACAGGAAGCAGCUUGCUGCUUUGCUGACGAGUGGCGGACGGGUGAGUAAUGUCUGGGAAACUGCCUGAUGGAGGGGGAUAACUACUGGAAACGGUGGCUAAUACCGCAUAACGUCGCAAGACCAAAGAGGGGGACCUUCGGGCCUCUUGCCAUCAGAUGUGCCCAGAUGGGAUUAGCUAGUUGGUGAGGUAACGGCUCACCAAGGCGACGAUCCCUAGCUGGUCUGAGAGGAUGGCCAGCCACACUGGAACUGAGACACGGUCCAGACUCCUACGGGAGGCAGCAGUGGGGAAUAUUGCACAAUGGGCGCAAGCCUGAUGCAGCCAUGCCGCGUGUAUGAAGAAGGCCUUCGGGUUGUAAAGUACUUUCAGCGGGGAGGAAGGUGUUGUGGUUAAUAACCGCAGCAAUUGACGUUACCCGCAGAAGAAGCACCGGCUAACUCCGUGCCAGCAGCCGCGGUAAUACGGAGGGUGCAAGCGUUAAUCGGAAUUACUGGGCGUAAAGCGCACGCAGGCGGUCUGUCAAGUCGGAUGUGAAAUCCCCGGGCUCAACCUGGGAACUGCAUUCG
rnacentral:rRNA from 2 species